AUGAACGCUAGCUACAGGCUUAACACAUGCAAGUCGAGGGGCAUCAGGAAGAAAGCUUGCUUUCUUUGCUGGCGACCGGCGCACGGGUGAGUAACACGUAUCCAACCUGCCCUUUACUCGGGGAUAGCCUUUCGAAAGAAAGAUUAAUACCCGAUGGCAUAAUGAUUCCGCAUGGUUUCAUUAUUAAAGGAUUCCGGUAAAGGAUGGGGAUGCGUUCCAUUAGGUUGUUGGUGAGGUAACGGCUCACCAAGCCUUCGAUGGAUAGGGGUUCUGAGAGGAAGGUCCCCCACAUUGGAACUGAGACACGGUCCAAACUCCUACGGGAGGCAGCAGUGAGGAAUAUUGGUCAAUGGGCGCUAGCCUGAACCAGCCAAGUAGCGUGAAGGAUGAAGGCUCUAUGGGUCGUAAACUUCUUUUAUAUAAGAAUAAAGUGCAGUAUGUAUACUGUUUUGUAUGUAUUAUAUGAAUAAGGAUCGGCUAACUCCGUGCCAGCAGCCGCGGUAAUACGGAGGAUCCGAGCGUUAUCCGGAUUUAUUGGGUUUAAAGGGAGCGUAGGUGGACUGGUAAGUCAGUUGUGAAAGUUUGCGGCUCAACCGUAAAAUUGCAGUUGAUACUGUCAGUCUUGAGUACAGUAGAGGUGGGCGGAAUUCGUGGUGUAGCGGUGAAAUGCUUAGAUAUCACGAAGAACUCCGAUUGCGAAGGCAGCUCACUGGACUGCAACUGACACUGAUGCUCGAAAGUGUGGGUAUCAAACAGGAUUAGAUACCCUGGUAGUCCACACAGUAAACGAUGAAUACUCGCUGUUUGCGAUAUACAGUAAGCGGCCAAGCGAAAGCAUUAAGUAUUCCACCUGGGGAGUACGCCGGCAACGGUGAAACUCAAAGGAAUUGACGGGGGCCCGCACAAGCGGUGGAGCAUGUGGUUUAAUUCGAAGCAACGCGAAGAACCUUACCAAGUCUUGACAUCCUGCGACGGAUAUAGAAAUAUGUCUUUCCUUCGGGACGCAGAGACAGGUGGUGCAUGGUUGUCGUCAGCUCGUGCCGUGAGGUGUCGGCUUAAGUGCCAUAACGAGCGCAACCCUUAUCUUUAGUUACUAACAGGUCAUGCUGAGGACUCUAGAGAGACUGCCGUCGUAAGAUGUGAGGAAGGUGGGGAUGACGUCAAAUCAGCACGGCCCUUACGUCCGGGGCUACACACGUGUUACAAUGGGGGGUACAGAAGGCAGCUAGCGGGUGACCGUAUGCUAAUCCCAAAAUCCUCUCUCAGUUCGGAUCGAAGUCUGCAACCCGACUUCGUGAAGCUGGAUUCGCUAGUAAUCGCGCAUCAGCCACGGCGCGGUGAAUACGUUCCCGGGCCUUGUACACACCGCCCGUCAAGCCAUGGGAGCCGGGGGUACCUGAAGUACGUAACCGCAAGGAUCGUCCUAGGGUAAAACUGGUGACUGGGGCU
rnacentral:rRNA from 1 species